AUGAGAACCGGGAGAUGCCACGGGCCCCCUGAACCCCUGUCCAUCUAGAGUGAUGGGGUGGUGCGUGUGAUCCAGGAAAGCUGCCCUGGUGACGUGAGGCUGAACGUGCUUCAGUGACAAGCUUCCGGGUGAUCCCAGAACAGGAGAGUGAGACGGAUCCUGUUAGAAAAAGGUCUGUCUUCAGGAUCGGGAGAGGAAAUCCAAGCAGACUUGCAGCAGAGCCUGGGGACGGGCUCUGUUUGGUGGGUCACCCUGUUUCCUGAGUCUCGAAAGGAGCAGCUCCAGCGGGCAGUGGCAGCUUCAUCCCACACCUGGGAGCAUCCAGACCUCGAGGCCCAGCAGCCCUGAGCCCUGUGUCUGGGCCCCCGGGAGGCAGGUGGGACAGGCCGCCAUCCCCCUCGGCCCUCUUCCUGCCCAGAACAUUCGGGGUCCGGGCCAUCAUUAGGGAGAAGCAGGGAUGGGGGUGUCCCAUGUGGGAACAGGACACGGAGCAGCUUGUGCACGUGGACGUCCACACCGGGAAUGUGGGUCGGUGGGACGCAGGCACCGGGAGGGGCAGGUGGUGGGUCUGAGGAAGC